rnacentral:rRNA from 1 species
AACGAACGCUGGCGGCAUGCCUAACACAUGCCAGUCGAACGAGACCUUCGGGUCUAGUGGCGCACGGGGGCGUAACGCGGGGGAACCUGCCCUUAGGUUCGGAAUAACUCCCCGAAAGGGGUGCUAAUACCGGAUAAUGUCUUCGGACCAAAGAUUUAUCGCCUUUGGAUGGGCCCGCGUUGGAUUAGCUAGUUGGUAGGGUAAAAGCCUACCAAGGCGACGAUCCAUAGCUGGUCUGAGAGGAUGAUCAGCCACACUGGGACUGAGACACGGCCCAGACUCCUACGGGAGGCAGCAGUGGGGAAUAUUGGACAAUGGGCGAAAGCCUGAUCCAGCAAUGCCGCGUGAGUGAUGAAGGCCUUAGGGUUGUAAAGCUCUUUUACCCGGGAUGAUAAUGACAGUACCGGGAGAAUAAGCACCGGCUAACUCCGUG